GAUGAACGCUGGCGGCGUGCCUAAUACAUGCAAGUCGAGCGAACGGACGAGAAGCUUGCUUCUCUGAUGUUAGCGGCGGACGGGUGAGUAACACGUGGAUAACCUACCCAUAAGACUGGGAUAACUUCGGGAAACCGGGGCUAAUACCGGAUAAUAUUUUGAACCGCAUGGUUCAAAAGUGAAAGACGGUCUUGCUGUCACUUAUGGAUGGAUCCGCGCUGCAUUAGCUAGUUGGUAAGGUAACGGCUUACCAAGGCAACGAUGCAUAGCCGACCUGAGAGGGUGAUCGGCCACACUGGAACUGAGACACGGUCCAGACUCCUACGGGAGGCAGCAGUAGGGAAUCUUCCGCAAUGGGCGAAAGCCUGACGGAGCAACGCCGCGUGAGUGAUGAAGGUCUUCGGAUCGUAAAACUCUGUUAUUAGGGAAGAACAUAUGUGUAAGUAACUGUGCACAUCUUGACGGUACCUAAUCAGAAAGCCACGGCUAACUACGUGCCAGCAGCCGCGGUAAUACGUAGGUGGCAAGCGUUAUCCGGAAUUAUUGGGCGUAAAGCGCGCGUAGGCGGUUUUUUAAGUCUGAUGUGAAAGCCCACGGCUCAACCGUGGAGGGUCAUUGGAAACUGGAAAACUUGAGUGCAGAAGAGGAAAGUGGAAUUCCAUGUGUAGCGGUGAAAUGCGCAGAGAUAUGGAGGAACACCAGUGGCGAAGGCGACUUUCUGGUCUGUAACUGACGCUGAUGUGCGAAAGCGUGGGGAUCAAACAGGAUUAGAUACCCUGGUAGUCCGCGCCGUAAACGAUGAGUGCUAAGUGUUAGGGGGUUUCCGCCCCUUAGUGCUGCAGCUAACGCAUUAAGCACUCCGCCUGGGGAGUACGACCGCAAGGUUGAAACUCAAAGGAAUUGACGGGGACCCGCACAAGCGGUGGAGCAUGUGGUUUAAUUCGAAGCAACGCGAAGAACCUUACCAAAUCUUGACAUCCUUUGACAACUCUAGAGAUAGAGCCUUCCCCUUCGGGGGACAAAGUGACAGGUGGUGCAUGGUUGUCGUCAGCUCGUGUCGUGAGAUGUUGGGUUAAGUCCCGCAACGAGCGCAACCCUUAAGCUUAGUUGCCAUCAUUAAGUUGGGCACUCUAAGUUGACUGCCGGUGACAAACCGGAGGAAGGUGGGGAUGACGUCAAAUCAUCAUGCCCCUUAUGAUUUGGGCUACACACGUGCUACAAUGGACAAUACAAAGGGCAGCGAAACCGCGAGGUCAAGCAAAUCCCAUAAAGUUGUUCUCAGUUCGGAUUGUAGUCUGCAACUCGACUACAUGAAGCUGGAAUCGCUAGUAAUCGUAGAUCAGCAUGCUACGGUGAAUACGUUCCCGGGUCU
rnacentral:rRNA from 1 species